CCCUGCAGCUCUGCUCAUGCCCCCCGCCCGUGCCGCCCAAUUCCAAACCUUGGCUGCUCCCCACCGCUCCGCGCACGUCUCUCUGCGCCGCCGGUCCCCGGCUGCGCCCCCCUCUGCCGAGGAAGAGCACGGGCAUGGCGGACGAGGCGCAUCUUAGGUCUGCCGUGCCAGGCCCUUGGGCGGCGGAUUACCGGGAGAAGGCCGUCCACUACUGCACUACACCAUCAAUAUCGGUGAUUCGGUGGAGUCCCUUUAUGUCUUCUGUGCGUACACUCUUCCUGGUCCUAGCUUAGGAACUAGGAGCCGAGCUUAUGCCAUGGACCUUCUUCAGCUAACCCACCACGAUUAUACAUUUUACUUGAUGAUUCUUCUCACAGCAUUGGCCAACUGGUGAUAAUGUGAUAUGAGCAUCAAGCCCGAGACCAUUCAAUGCGGCUUAUGCGGGACCAAGCUUUGCCUUGUUGCUCAGGUGAGUGUCGUCGAUGUAGCAAGGCUUUACUAGUCGAAACAUCUUUAUUGGUCUGUUUUGUAAGGAAUCCGAGUGCUUCUGUGCUCUUGCAGUUCUCUGGAUUAACAUUGCAAACUGUGUUUACAUACUGAUCCGUGGUACUAGUAUAUACAGAACGUCUGCAUGUUGACACUAGUACUAGUAUAUACUUUCUGCCUCACCCUAUUCAGCAGUGGUCAUAAAACAAAAUUAAUGCGGUUCUAACCUAAGGUACAUGCGCUCGUGGCAAAGCUAAGCAUCGAGGAGAGGAUAAUCUUUGUGCUUGUUUGCUUGACUCCUGAAUGUGGACCUCAACCCCAAAGGUUAUAUGCGGAUUGAUUCAACCUGUUUACUAUAUAUCCAUGUUGGGAAUAGUUCUACAUUGUGUAUAGGCAAGUAUGAUUUAUAUGGUUGAGGGUGCAAUUACUAAUGGGCUAGCAUUUUGGGGGAGUGUUGGUCGAACGGACCUAAAGCCCGCUGCUACGCGUUCGGGCGCGUGUGACAUGGCCCGAUAGCCUAGAUGUGUGUGCGGACAACCUGGCGACCGUGCCAUGUGUCGGCGGUCCGGUUCCAACAAUCCAGACCUUUACAUGAUCUUAAGUCAGUAUGUCUUUUCUGUUUUUUGCUAAGGCAUCUUAAGUCGAAUGGGCCUUCUACGAUCCUUCCAGAAGAACAGAAUGAUAAAAAUAAAAUUCCUGAGAUCAACAGUGGCGAUUUUGAUCUAGAUGCCUUAGCCGAAGCACUCGAACAAUCGGCAACAUUAGCAUCUAAUUCAAAGAAGAAGAAUAAAUCGAAGCAUGCUAAUGCUCCUGUAAAACGUCCUGUACUGAAGGCGCAAGCAUGUGAUCUUAGCAUACCAGGUGUGCACAAGUUUAAAAGAACUCGUUACCAUGCAUGCAAAAUCUGAAUAUCUGAUUGUUUUGAUCUGAUAAAAUCCUGUUGCAGUUCUUUCUUGUUUUACAUAUAUUAUGAUAAUUGAUAAAGGUACCGUGGGAUCAAAUAUCAGUGAGUUGGUUUUGGACAAAGAAACCAUGGAUGCCGCAAAUGACGGAGAAGAAAAAUGGGAAGGUGAAAAGUAUGAGUACCAUAAAGCUAUUGGUGCUGACAGAACUUUUUCGAAAUUCGAGAAACGAUUAUUAGACAAGAUUGAAUAUGAGCAUAUCAUUGAAGAAUUUAUUUAAAGGAACCCUAAGAGAAUGAAGUUGUUCAAGUAAAAUUCAUACAAUAAAGAGUUAAAUAGGUAUUUUUUUCAUAAACUCCAUUUCUAUGUACUAUAUUACAACAUUUUAAUACUUACAAUUAUGUUUUUAAAUAGUUUAGUAUUUUAUACAGGGCCUCAUUUUCUCCUGGCAUGGCCCUGUUGGUACUGGGGUGAAACCAGACAUUGUUCAUUGUAUUCUUUUGUUUACAGUUCCCCACUCUGCACUAUUGCAGUUCCCCACUCUGCACUAUUGCUUAACUCUGUGUCAAUUUACCGUAGAGCUGCUGCCCGUCCUCGUGCGGUGGAAAGCCUCAGAGCGGUCGGGGUGCAGCGGAGACCUAGCCAGGGCCAACUAAGAAACUAUUCCUGAUUGUGCAUGUGAUGCACAGUGUUUUCCAAUUGUCAAUAAGAGCUGUAAAGCAACCUGCAAUUUUGCGGUAUGUUUUGUGGCUGCUUCGUGCCCCAGUAUCCUGCAGCCUGUCAUACAUAGCUCACACGAUUUGGCCUAUUGCAAGUUCGCACAGCAAUACAGCAUGAUUCCAGGCUUGCGAGAUGUUUGUCAGUGUGGCUAUUCUUCUGGCUGCAAAACCAUUUUUGUACCCUGUCUUUUUAGGUGCAUGAAUUGUGAGCUCCAAUCAAUCAAGGGUGGGCAUGUUACGAGCAUCAAGAGAUAUGAUCCGGGCCUGAUAAUAAUAAUUGCAAGAAAGCAGCAUUUCUCUGGAUUAAAGUACAACUAUAUUAAAGUGGCAAAACCGUACCGCAGCCGAUAUAUAAUGGAGCGCAUAAUUCAUCGGCUGUAUUAUUCUCGUCGCCAACCCUACCUGCACUGACGCUGAUGCUUCAUUUGCAACUUGGCUCUCGGAUCGCCCGGAUGGUGCCAGCCAGGCUGCACCUGCACAUAAAUAAAUUAUUAUCCAUAAUAUUGUAGGUGUUUUUGCAUCCAUCAAUCCAUGUUUUCUCCGUUUGAAGAAUCUGUACGUACGAAAAGGAUGUGGAUGUAGUAUUAUACACCACUCACGCCUGGCAAUCUUUUCUUUGUAGCUGUGAUGUGGUAAGUUCAUCGGAAAAAUAAAUAAAUGUC